CUGGCCGAAAGUGGCGAAAUGCCGAAUUUGGUUUUCUCCGAUGAAAAAACAUUCGUUGCCCAGCAGUUUCUAACGAGACCAAAUGAUCGUGUUUACUUGCCAAAGAGGUCAGCUGACCUUCGAUUGGCUAACAGAACUCAUGCGCCGAUCAUGGUGAUGGUGUGGGCUGCCAUAACAGCCGAUGGUCACACUCCGCUCGUAUUAAUCGACCGUGUCAUCAACAUAAGAGCCGAAUAUUAUCGCGAAAAUAUUCUGAAGGGUGUAUUAAAGCCUUGAGCACGCAAAAAUAGCAACAUUCCGACAGUGCGUGACGGUUUCAUUGACCUUUGAAGGCCAUAAUUCGUGUCAAAGGUGACCAAUUCGAACAAAUCUAAACUUAUUCUAAAAUGUGAUGCUAUUUCCGACAUUUUUUGCUUUCAUUCAAAAAAAAAUUAAAAAAAGUA